GAUGAGCGCUGGCGGCGUGCCUAAUACAUGCAAGUCGAGCGAACGGACGAGAAGCUUGCUUUUCUGAUGUUAGCGGCGGACGGGUGAGUAACACGUGGAUAACCUACCUAUAAGACUGGGAUAACUUCGGGAAACCGGAGCUAAUACCGGAUAAUAUUUUGAACCGCAUGGUUCAAAAGUGAAAGACGGUCUUGCUGUCACUUAUAGAUGGAUCCGCGCUGCAUUAGCUAGUUGGUAAGGUAACGGCUUACCAAGGCAACGAUGCAUAGCCAACCUGAGAGGGUGAUCGGCCACACUGGAACUGAGACACGGUCCAGACUCCUACGGGAGGCAGCAGUAGGGAAUCUUCCGCAAUGGGCGAAAGCCUGACGGAGCAACGCCGCGUGAGUGAUGAAGGUCUUCGGAUCGUAAAACUCUGUUAUUAGGGAAGAACAUAUGUGUAAGUAACUGUGCACAUCUUGACGGUACCUAAUCAGAAAGCCACGGCUAACUACGUG
rnacentral:rRNA from 1 species